CUUGUAUGUGUUAGGCAUGCCA
rnacentral:siRNA from 1 species